rnacentral:sRNA from 1 species
CAACGUGUCAUAUUUCCUUUUGUUCUUUUUUUUUUUUUUUUUUUUUUUGGGGGGGUUUUCCCCCUUUGCUUUUCAUAAUGUGUCACUUUUUCCACGAUUUGACUAGUUUUUGUGGGAUGUUCCGCGGCUUCCCCGGCUUCCCCAUAUCCCGUUCCCAAUAGCUUUUUUUGGCCCCACGUUCUGCAAGUUCAUUCUUCUUUAUUGGGCCGGGGAACAGCGGGACCGAACGGGCUAACCAACUGUCAACUCAUCGCCAGGCGGAUCCCCCCGUUUCCGGAACCGAGUGUAUAUUUAUCGAAAUCCCGAAGUUAUGGU